UCCGUAGGUGAACCUGCGGAAGGAUCAUUACAGUAUGGCCGCCCGCUCCGGGCGAACGAACCACCCGCACCCGCGUCGUGCGCUUUGGGGGAAGGUGGGGGGGCCCGCCCCUCCCCUUUGCCCUUUAUUACCUUUACAACGUCCCGUCCUCGCAUGUCUUUGUGGAAAAAGAAACGAAUACAACUUUCAACAACGGAUCUCUUGGCUUUCGCAUCGAUGAAGAACGCCGCGAAAGCGCGAAACGUAAUGUGAAUUGCAGAAUUCAGUGAAUCAUCGAAUCUUUGAACGCAUCUUGCGCUCCUUGGCAUUCCGAGGAGCAUGCCUGUUUGAGUGUCGUGAAACCUUCUCAACCCUCCCCUUGGUGGGCGGGUCGGACUUUGGACGCCUGCGGUGACGCCACCGCUCGUCUUCAAACGCAUCAGCGGCCCCCCCGUCCCGUGUGGGAAGAACGGUGUGAUAAGGAAAGACCCUUUGCUUUUGCGCCGCCCCACACGGCACGCCGCUCCCAGCCGUCCCUCGGGACAAGUCUCGACGUCUGACCUCAAAUCAGGUAGGACCACCCGCUGAACUUAAGCAUAUCAAUAAGCGGAGGAAAAGA
rnacentral:rRNA from 1 species